rnacentral:tRNA from 1 species
GAGGUGUUAGUAAACUAAUUACAUAGCCUUGUCAAGACUAAAUAACAGGUGAAAAACCUGUACACCUCA